rnacentral:rRNA from 1 species
GACGAACGCUGGCGGCGUGCUUAACACAUGCAAGUCGAACGGAAAGGCCCUGCUUUUGUGGGGUGCUCGAGUGGCGAACGGGUGAGUAACACGUGGGUAACCUGCCCUUGACUUUGGGAUAACUUCAGGAAACUGGGGCUAAUACCGGAUAGGAGCUCCUGCUGCAUGGUGGGGGUUGGAAAGUUUCGGCGGUUGGGGAUGGACUCGCGGCUUAUCAGCUUGUUGGUGGGGUAGUGGCUUACCAAGGCUUUGACGGGUAGCCGGCCUGAGAGGGUGACCGGCCACAUUGGGACUGAGAUACGGCCCAGACUCCUACGGGAGGCAGCAGUGGGGAAUAUUGCACAAUGGGCGGAAGCCUGAUGCAGCAACGCCGCGUGCGGGAUGGCGGCCUUCGGGUUGUAAACCGCUUUCGCCUGUGACGAAGCGUGAGUGACGGUAAUGGGUAAAGAAGCACCGGCUAACUACGUG